GUCACCUCCUACAAGCCUCUCUCCGCCGCGGGCUACAAAAGAUCAAGGGUUCAAGAACACACGAAUACUUAAGCGUGACAUCAUCCCUGCUGCCUAUUGCGCCAAGGAUGUUUUCUCUUUGUUUUUUUUUACAAGGUUAUAUAUUUCUUGAAGUCAUGUUAAGUUUAAGGCAUAUGAGUGUUCUUUCCUAGUUUGUUAUUUCUUUUCCACUAUUACUACUACUUCUACUACUACUACUACAAGCCGGGUCUCUGAAACCCUACCUAGAACUACUACUAAUACUACAAGCCGGGUCUCUGAAACCCUGCCUAGAACUACUACUACUACUAUACUACUACUACUACUACUACUACUACUACUACUACUACUACUACUACACACACACACACACACACUUUACGUCGCCUCAAGCAAUGCUAAUAAAACAAAACACGUAUACACGACCAUCGAUCACAAAUAACCUAACGAAACAACACACCAGGAGAAAAAUAAAGACAAAGAAUAAAACCGAGAGACAGCGCAGCCAUAUAUCAACAAUAAAUUAAACUGCACGUGUCCAAAUCAUUCGUGGCAUAGCUUUUUAUUAACCCUGCACACAUCACCACCAAUCAGCCCCUUCUCUAAUGGAUAAAGUCAUCACAUCCCGCGGCCUGCCAUGACAACACAGGGACGCGGCAGCCAUAGCAACGAAAUGGAAGGAAGGACGCGGUAACUAUAGCGACAAAGACUGGAAGGGACGCGGUAACCAUGGUAACGAAUGCCAAUGUAGGACGCGGUAACUAUGGCAACCAAUUUACACCGCCAUGAUUUCUGUAUCCGAUUUUAUAACAUGGCUUUGACUUCGUAUUGUUUUUACACUGAAAACACAUAACAUUCAAUAAAAAGUUAACUUCAAACAGUAAAAGAAAACAGGACGUAUAUUUUCAAAACUUCUACAGUAAGUAUUUUAUUCACAGUCAGGAAAUCACACGAAAUAUAAAACAAAAUAGAGUAAUGAAAGAAACGGACAGAAGCACGUGCCGGCUUUUCAAAACACACACCACUACGAAGCCACCAAACAACCCCUACAAGACCCACACACACCACGGAAGCCGCACCACACACCACACAACACCGCAGAACACCACGGUACACCACACAGGCUAAGACAAGGCAGUAACACCCUGGUAUAUUCGUGAAAAAAGGAAGGAAGACAUGAAGGGUUCGAGAGGUAGUGAGAGAGAAGCCAAAUCGCCGCUGCCUGAGGAGAAUAUAAUGAAUCUGCUGCCUCGCCCUCCCGUGGUGGUGAGGAAACCAAAGAGAUACGUGUCCCGACAUCAUGGGCGUGUGGUGGAGGAGGCGCGCGGGCGGGACAGCCAUGCGACACUGGGGAAGGCAGCCCCAGCCCACCCGCCCAGCCCCGCCCACUAUCUGAAGAAGGGACACAGGGACCAGUACACCCACGCCCUCGUCUCCUCCAAAUACGCCCUUACUACAGAGGACCGGCCACACAUCUGCCCUAAGCGUCCACCACUGCCCACACCUGUCCCCUAUCCACCGUCCGAACGUGACAGGUGUGUAGACUAUUGCAGCUGUGGAAGUCAGGAGUGGAACAUGUUUGGAAGAGUUUCGUUGUUAAAUAAAAAGAAAAGUAAAGAAGUAAGUGGAAACAAAUUGAGGUAGAACACUGAAUAAAUAAAGGUAAAAUUAUUAUCCUCGUAACUUCAACAGGUUUGUGUGUGUAUGUAUGUAUGUAUGUUUGUGUUGGAUAUGGACAGGUGUGUGUGUGUGUGUGUAUGUAUGUGUGUAUGUAUGUGUGUGUGUUGGGUCUAGAUAAGCGUGAAAACCAAAUGAAACAGGUGUGGAUCUGUCCGUUGUGUUUAGACAGAUGUAAGAGUGGGGGAAGGGGGGAGCAAAUUAAAUAUAUACAUGUGUGUGCUGGCCAUGAACAGGUGUGGCAUGAACUGGAUAGCAGGCAAUGUGUCACGGGUGGAGGAGGCAGCGAGGGCGAGGCGCAGUGCAGGGCUCCUUAGAAAGCACGUGGCUGUGGAUGACCUGGGAGGGCACAGACAGGACCGCCUCUCAGCUGGCCUUCAUCCGCGUUACGUGUUCAAGAAGAACUUCGGCAGCGUUCCCUCAUACUUGGAGAGAAGGAAGAAGUCUUUGAGCGCUCAGAAAGAAGAGGAGGAGAGAAAGGAGAGAGGGAAUGCGAGGAAGGAAAGAGAAGGGAAGAAAGAGGAGGGAAAGAAGAGGGAAGAGGAGGAAUAUACAUUGCUACCAGAAGAGGAGAAGGAAGAAUUACUGAAGGGGCUGCACACUAACCUGAAGGAGGCACAGAGGCGGCUGCAGUCCCUCCCAGUGGUGUGUGAGACCUUGGCAAGCAGAGCGCGGCGGGACCAGCUGGAGAAGAGAGUCAUGGAUCUGCAACGCUACAUUUUCCUCCUG